AGAAGUGGAGAAAGGACUGCAGAGUGACUGUCUCCCAUAGUGGGUUGUUUUCUCAUUUUCCCUUGCUCUGUUUCUGGUGAGUGCAUGUACCCUCUAGAAAAUUUACAAAAAAAGAUGUAGACAAUUUGGAGCUAAAGUGAAAUUUUCUGUUAACUGGAUAUUAUGGAAUGAGGGAAAAUUUUUGUUUAAAAAAUUUACAUAAACAAUUCAAAAGGAUGAUUAGGUAUGAACUGCCAAUAUAUCAUUCUUAAGAUAUUACUCUUCUGCUGAAUACUACAUUUUCAUAUUUCAUAAUCCAGGUAUCUAAUUUAACUUAGAAGAGUCAUAUGAUGCCAUUACUUUUUGUUUUUCUCAGCAUGACCAUACUUUGGAAUCAUGUGUUACAUCUGUAAGUGCUUUUGCAAUCAGGUCAAGAAAUUAAGUUGUCCUUAUCAAGAAUUUGCAUAAAACCAAGGUGUUCUAGUAUCCGGACCAAAGUUGUGGUGCUCAGAGAACACUUCCCAGAAAUGUAGGUAAAAAGGUCCUAGAAAAAGAACAGUAGGAUGGCAAAAAGGGAAGAAAGGAUACAGAUGUUGACCUAUGCAUGAAAUAAUGAUAUACAAUUGAGUUUGGGAAGAAAAAUAUUUAAGAUAUGUGGAAUUUCAAAUCUU